rnacentral:rRNA from 1 species
CAUUAAACCAUUAUAUUUGUUUGUUGGUGGCCCCCUGCCACUCCGGACAACCGUAUACUUUCUUAAAACAAAAAGUGCAUGCGCCACCACCCCCCACCUCCGGGAAGGAACUGCAUUUAUUAAAUAAAACGUCGACGCGGGCUGUCCCCUGGUCGCUUUUCUGAUGAUUCAUGAGAACUCGACGAGAUAUCGCACGGCCUUUGCGCCGGCAAGCGACAUUCAUUCUAAUAUUUCCUGCCCAUAUCAACUUGGGAGGGGAGGGAAACUGGCCAUACCGGGGAGGUGACGGGGGACGACAGAAAUUAGGGUUGCGAUUCCAGAAGAGGAACCCAGAAAAACAGCUACCACAUCCGAAGGAGAGGGCGCAGGGCGUUCCCAACUUACCCGAUUCCUGGACACGGGAAGGUAGACGAAAAUAAACAACACCACCGGGUUCUUCGAGGCUGGUAAUUGGAAUGACUACAAUCCAAAUCCCUCAACCAGGAUCCAUUGGAGGGCAAGUCGUGGUGCCAGCAGCCGCGGUAAUUCCAGCUCAAAUAAUAUAUAUUUUACGUUGAUGCAGUUAAAAAUCACGUAGGUGGACCGGGGGGCGGAGCCGACCGGUCCGCCUUGCGUGUGUGCGCACCGGUCCUCCGGCUUCCUGCUGCCGGCUGAUCCGCUCCUUGGCCUGAACCGGGCCCCGGCCGCCCCUCCGGCGCUGUCACUUUAAAUUGAAAUUAGAAUGCUCACAGCACGCCUACGACUCCCCUCCCUGAUACAUGAUAGCAUGGGACAUCCGUUCAUAUGAUCUCUCGUGUCCUAUUGUGUUCGGCCCUUCAAAAAUAGAAAUAAACAAGAUUAACACGGGCACACUCCUGCGGCAUUCGUAUUUUCAUAGUCAGAGGUGAAAUUAUUAGGUUAUUCUAUGAAAGACUAACAACUACUAACAGCCUGUUGCCAACGACUGUUUUAUCUAUGUUUAAUCAAGAACGAGGGAAGUAGGGGGGUACACCAUACGAUCACAAUAUCCGUCCUAGUCUCAUAUCCAUUAAGCUGAUGUCGGACUCAGGGAUCGCCUGUUACGUUGCUUUUAGACCCCCGAAACACCUUAUGAAAAUCAAGAUUUUGGGUUCCGGGGGGAGGAUGGGCGCAAGGCUCGAAACUCAAAAGAAAUAGACAGGUAGGGCAACCACCAAGAAUGCGAGCCUGCAGCUUAAUUUGGACAUCAUAACCGGGGAAACUUAACCGGACCAGCUCUAGUAAAGAUAGACAGAGCCAGAGAGCUCUUUCUAUGAUUCUAUGGGGGGGGGGGCAAGGCAGAUCUGCUAGUGGGUGGGGAGAAUUGUCUGGUUAAUACCGUUAACGAAAGAGACAUCACCCUGCUAACUAGCUAUGAUAGGAGGUAACCCACUCACAACUAGCUUCUUGGAAAGGGAAUAGGGCCGUCCAGGCCACGGAAAUUAAAGGCAGACAACAGGUCGGUGAUAACCCCUACAUGUAUAUGGGCCGCACCCGCGCUACCCCUGAUGAAUUCAACAGAGGUCUAUAACAUCCGCCGACAGGCGCCGGCUAAUCUAUGAAAUAUAAUCAUUAUGAGGAGAAUAGAGCAUAGCAAUCAUUUGGUCUUUCAACAAGAAAUUACUCACGAAGCGCGAGUGAUCAGCUCGCGUCAGAAAAUCC